rnacentral:lncRNA from 1 species
UCAAACCUUGCACCCACGACCCAACACUCGUUGGAUCACAUUUGCAAAUAUUCAUGCAUUUUCCGCAAAUGCAACUGAUAGGAGUCACUCAGUGUAAACAGGCGUUCAUGCUGUAAACAGGCAUUCAUGCAAGUUGGUCAAUGCACCACGGGCUACAAUACGACAAUAGGGGCCUCAAACCUUGCACCCACGACCCAACACUCGUUGGAUCACAUUUGCAAAUAUUCAUGCAUUUUCCGCAAAUGCAACUGAUAGGAGUCACUCAGUGUAAACAGGCGUUCAUGCUGUAAACAGGCAUUCAUGCAAGUUGGUCAAUGCACCACGGGCUACAAUACGACAAUAGGGGCCUCAAACCUUGCACCCACGACCCAACACUCGUUGGAUCACAUUUGCAAAUAUUCAUGCAUUUUCCGCAAAUGCAACUGAUAGGAGUCACUCAGUGUAAACAGGCGUUCAUGCUGUAAACAGGCAUUCAUGCAAGUUGGUCAAUGCACCACGGGCUACAAUACGACAAUAGGGGCCUCAAACCUUGCACCCACCACCCACCACUCGUUGGAUCACAUUUGCAACAUUCUUGCAUUUUCUGCAAAUGCAUCUGAUAGGUGUCACUCAGCUUAAACAGGCGUUCAUGCAAGUUGCCCGAUGCACCAUGGGCUAUAAGACAGUCACACUUCAUCUCACCAAACUCGAUCCCACCAAAUCGCUUCCUGUCUGCCACUGGCCGUCCGGUAAGGGGUUGGAAUGACCCAGUGUUUCGGAAUUUUACUUUGUCCUCAGACAUGUGAAUAAAUUGCUGGUAAAAUGUUAUCCAUGUAAAUAUGAGUGAACGAACCACUUAACCAGUUCGGCCAUCAUAAAGUCUCCCUGUUCCCCAUUUGGAAAAUCCAGCCCUUUCACGUAUGUACAGCAAAUGAAUGCUAUCCAGUCCAUGGGACACUCAAACAAACAAAACAGAAAGUAAUGCUUGAAUAUGAAAGUAAUUCCGCUGUUUCUGGCCCCAAUGCAAUUUAGCAACUGAGACACAAAACUGAAACAAAAUAGAAUCUAAAAGAUGACGAGCCAAAAGCUGGAUAAACAACGAAGUAGGGAAAAAAAAAAAAGAAAAACAAUUUGUUUAGGCACAGAACACUCUUGCAAUUUCAUGAUGCAUACUCAGCCACCAAAAUCCAAAUAAGAAAAUUUCUUAUUUGCUAUGACACACUGCAGUAAUAGCAUAAAAAUCCUGCUGUACCGUACAUCCGCCUUGGCCGUACAGCAGUAAAGCUUCAAGCCUUCUUUCUACCUUUGCAUUUUUUUUUAAUUCAUUUCCUCUAAUAUAUAAAAGUAAUUGCUAAUUUUCUGCUGUACCGUACAUCCGCCUUGGCCGUACAGCAGGUUACUUUCUCCCUCUUCAAUUUAUAUUUUAUUACUUUUUGUUGAAGAAAAAGAGAAAUGUGUUUUAAUUACUAUUGACUUUUCCUUUAAAAAAAUAGUUAUUUAUUUAAAAUAAAAUUAACUCAUUUCUAUUUGAAGAGUCUUUUGGAGAACAAUAUCUUUUUUCACUCAUCUAUUUGCCACAUAGGUAAGCAAAUGAAUAUUUGAAGAGUAAAAUUUAUAGAGCCUUUUGGAGAUGCUCUAAAAGAAACAGAAGAAUUAAGAGCAGAAUUAAAAAAUAAAGAAAAAGGAAAAGAAAAACUAGAAAUAAAAGAAACAACUCCUAGUGAUUCAGAUUAAUGGAAAACACAUUAGAAGAAUUAACUGAAAAAUUCAGUGAAAUAAACCUUAGUGAUUUAGAAGACUUUGAAAAAGAAUAUCAUAUAAAAAUGAAUACUUCUGGAGGACCAGAAUUGAAACCUGACAUAGGAGAACCAAGUCAUAGAUAUGCAACAAACAAAAAGAAAAAUAGACCAUUUUUUGAGUAUAUACCACCCGUUAAAAAUACUCCUUGGAAAAAAGAAUAUCAACCUAACAAUGAUAAUUUAACACCAAUAAGUAAUGCAGGAACAUUUUUAAAUCUAGACUGCAAAAUAAACCCCCAUAAGGUUUUAAUUGAAUGGGGAAUGCAAAUGUGAUUAUUUUUUCUAUAUAAUGGCUCUAAAGUCGAUUGGAAUGUAGAAACAGAAGAAGAAAAAAUAAAUUUAUUCGCUGACAUCCUCAUAGCCAGUUUUACAGGUAAUGUAUUUAACUGGUGGAAAGGAUUAAGUGAAGACACUCAAAGACUAAUAAAAGAUUCAACUAAAAUAGCUUUAGCCAGAAGUAGAGGAUUAGGAAUUGAAAGAAUAAUCGAAUAUAUUGCUAAUGAAUUCUUAGGAGAAAACUGGUUAGAAAAUACAGAAAGAGAAACAAAAAAUGAAAAAUUAGAGGCAAGGAUGAAAUUAAUAAACUUAACAAUUUGUAACAUGUGUUUCGUGAAAGAAUAUACCUGUGAAUUUAGUAAAUAUUAUUAUACACAAUUCUAUAGCCAAGAAGAUCAAAAUAUUUAUAAAAAUUUAUAUUAUUCCAAAUUACCAUAUCCCUGGAAUGGAUAUUUUAUAAAUGAGUAUGAGAAAAAUAGUACUGCUAAUAGAUCUCCAGACACAUUAGGAUCUAGAAUAAGGUUUUUGAAUACAAGAUUAAGUGAAAUAUGCAUUCAAAGAAAUUUAAUGAAAAAGAGUAAAAAUAUAGGAGAUACAUGUUGUGGAAAAACAGAAAUGCCAACCCAAUGGGGUUGUUAUACACCAUAUAAACGAAAAAGAAAGUUAUAUAAGAAAGAGAAAAAAUAUAAAAAAUACAAUAACUUUAAAAGAAAAUAUAGAAAACUGGAAAGAAAAUACUAUAAAAGAAAAUAUAAAAACCAAAAAAGAAAAUUAGAUAAAUCUAAAUGUAAAUGCUGGAAUUGUGGAGAAAUAGAACAUAUUAGCACAGAUUGUACAAAAAAGAAAGUAAGACUCUUAGAAGAAGAUUUUGAAAAUAUAAAAAAUGACUUAGAAGAAAUAAGUGAUAUAUCAGACUAUGAAGGAAAAGAAGUUUACAUGGUGAAAGAAUUAGAUGAUGAGUCAGAAUAAAGACGAAAUUAUAGAAAAUGAAAGAAUAGAAGAAAUAGAAGAAAUAGAAAAAGAAGAAAAUAAAAGUGGAUAUAGUCUUGUUGCCACUUUUAAUAAUGAAAAAUAUAAUAAACUUUUGAAAAUAAAUAUGGAAAAACCAGAAUAUGGAAUAAUACAUAAACUUAGAGAUAUGUUUAAAAGAAAAAGAAUAGUAUUACAUGAAUAUUAUGAACAAGAAAAAGUUGUUACAAUUACACAAGCUGAAGGAAAUAUCAGAUUCAGUUUAAUAAAUAAAAGAUCUAUAGAUUUAGCAUUAAGAAAGAUAAAAAAUGAAUCAACAAAAGAAAAAAUUCAAUAUGUAUAUCUAGCAGAAAUUCAAAUCUUAAUAAAAUCUCUUUUCAAAGAAGGCAUAGAUAGUCCCAUAGUAUUGUCACUACAUGAUCAAAGAUUUAAUGACCCUAGUACAGGACAUUUAGGAACAAUAGAAGGAAACUUAUGUUAUACUAAGUUAUUAUUCACAUGUCAUCCUAGAUAUUGUGUACAUAUAAAAGAUAAAAAUAUAGAUGAAACGCUAAGCUUACAUUUUAAACUACUAAAAAGAAACUUAAUGAAAGAAGGGAAUAGAAUAAUGACAAUACAUUAUUCUGCACUAUAUAGUUUUUGCAAUUCAAAUUACGGAGAAGUAUAUGGGAAUAAGCCUUACAUCGAAAUAAAUAAAGAAUGUGAAGAUAUAGCAACAUUCAUAGAACCAACAAUCCAGGAAUAUAAAAUUCCUAUAAACUAUGAGCUAAACAUAGAUGACAAAAAACAAUUUUUAGAUAUUGCUAACGAAAACUCCAUAAUCCCCAUAAGCUUUGCAGGAAGAACCUUAGUAAGAGGAGGUUCAUCUAGAAGGUUAAGUACUGAUAAACAAAUAACUAGAUCUAUAGUAACUAAUAACGUAAUAAAAAUAUUUGGACAAUAUUUUAAUGGAAUAGAUUAUACAACAAAAAUACCUAUAUUGGUAGAUACAGGUACAAGUCAUAAUUAUAUGAAUCACACAAAAAAUAAAGGACUCUUAAUAAAAGAAAAAGAAAUCCCGUAUCAAUAUACUGAUUUUAAUGGUAAUAAACAUAUUUGUAAACAAGAAGUUAAAGUCCCUAUAAUUAUAGAAGGAUUUAGAAUAAUAGUAUCUUGCUAUAUAGAUUCGUUCAUGACCACAGACCCAGAAAAACAUAUAGUACUAGGAAAUAGUUUUUUAAAUGAUUUAGAAUACUACAAAAUUGAAAAACAUAAAGUAACUCUACAAAUAGAAGGUAAAAAGAUAGUAUGUGAAACAUGUUAAAACAAGCUUAUAUAAAAUACCCUAUGUCCGUAUAUAUACAAAUAAACAUAACAGAAAAAGAUAUAGAUACAUGUGCCUUAAUAGACGGCAGUGAAAUAACGAUUAUGAAAUCCUUUCUAUCAAACCAAUGGAAACCAAACGAGAAAUUAAAAAUCAUUGGAAUAACAGGCGAUAAACAACAAGUAAACCAAUCUUUAAUAAACUUUGAAAUACUCUUAGGUAGUAAGAUAGUAUGUAUCAACCAAAUAUAUCAAUAUGAUGGUAUGGAUUGCGAUAUACUCCUAGGAAAUGACUUUAUACAAUAAUUCCAAUAUUAUCAACAAACUACCUAUAUGGUCACUUUAAAAACCCAUUGUAAUCAUAUUCUUCGCAUUCCUCGUGAAUUUAAACCUUAUCGAGUUCGGCCAGCCCAGCGUGGUGAUACAUUUAUUUAUGAAAAACAUUAUCUAAUACAAAAAGGACAGAGUUACAAUAUACAACUAGAAACAAUAAAAUCAUAGCUUGAACAAGUUUUGUCUCCCAGGUGGAUUAACUUGAGGAAGCUAAGAUUGCCAACAUAAGGAGACAAGGUACCUCCUAGACUUUGGUUCCUCAGAUACAACUCGGUUACCCUUUGAUGCCGACGACCACAAGUCACUCCUGUCCACUGGCAUAAGUUUACAGAAGUGUCCCACGAACUUGUUACUUCUAGUGGAUCAUGGAACUGUGACUUUAUAGCAAGUAAUGCUAGACGAUCUGUCUCGUUUGUGUGGACAGAAAAGCUGUGUGAACUAAGCAACAAACUGAAGCACCAUAUAAGAGUUGCAAGGCUGGUAGUGGUAAUAAAAAUGGAGCUAAACAUGUUUAGCGGCUGCAGGGUAUAAGAUAAUAAGACUAAUGAAAAGCGUGGCGUGAUCGUUUGAAGUUCAUGUGAAGGGUUUUUAAAGUCGAAAAAUGAGUGUACGGUAAAAUCUCUUUAUAGUCAUAAUAUGAAGAGUAAAUUAUUCUGCUGUACGGCCAAGGCGGAUGUACGGUACAGCAGUAUAGCUAUAUCAUAGUCUAUGUUGAUGACAUAUUAAUAGCAUCAGAAACAUUAGAAGACCAUAGAACCCAUUUAAAAGAAUUCGUUAACGUAUGUAUUAGAGAAGGUAUAGUAUUAUCAGAAAGAAAAGCAGUCAUAGAACAUAAAAAAUAAAAUUUUUAGGAAUGAUUCUUGAUAAAAAAAGGAAUAAGACUCCAAAGCCAUAUAGGAAAAAAGAUUACAGAAUUCCCAAAUAAAUUGGAAAAUAAACAACAAAUACAAAAAUUCUUAGGUUGUUUAAACUAUGCAGAAGGAUUCAUAAAAGACUUAGCAAAAAAGAGAAAUAUACUCCAGAAACUACUUAGAAAAAAUAAUACUAAAGGAUGGAACGAAGAACAUACGGAAACUGUAAUAAAUCUAAAAGAAGAAUGUAAAAACCUCCCAGCAUUAAGGUUACCAGAAGAAAAUGAUAAGUUAGUAAUACAAACUGAUGCAUCUGAUUUAUAUUGGGGAGCAAUACUUAAAACUGAUAUAAAUGAAAUUUGCUGAUAUACUAGUGGAACAUUUAAUCAAGCACAAGUUAAUUACCCAGUUCAUGAAAAAGAACUCCUUGCAAUAUAUAAAUGAAUAAAAAAGUUCUCGUUAUUUUUACUCCAGAAAUAAUUUAUUGUAGAAACAGAUAAUUCUCAGGUAAGUUCACUUAUUAGUAGAAUUUUGCCAAAUGAACCCCAAUACAGGCGACUGCAUAGAUGGCAAGCUUAUUUAUCUUAUUAUAAUUUCAAAAUCAUACAUAUAAAAGGAACUAACAAUUUUCUUGCAGAUUUCCUAAGCAGGAACAUAGAAUUCAGAGAAUGAAUGCAGAAGUAAAUAAAAUCAUUUCUGUAAUAAACACAGAAAUACAAAGGCUCAAAGCUGAAGCAUCAGACAUGCUUGAUGCCAUAAAUUACAUAAAAGAAGCCACAGAGGCUCAUGAGAAGGGAAUACAUUUGUUAGAGUCAUACAUAAACGACCUAACAAAAGGGCUUUCAAUAAACACUAGCCCAAUAGAGAUAGGAAGUAGUAGUGGACCACUCCCACAACAAGAACCAGUCUCUGACCCAUCAUCCAGCCGAACCAUAUCCAUAAGUGUUGAAUCACCUAAAGCAACUUCUUCAAAAAAGUUUAUCAAAAUAAACAACACUCCCUCAGAAGAAGAAGAAAAACCUUCUCCACUAAAUCCAAGAGAAGAAGAGUAUAAACAGUUCUCCACAUGGGUAUACUCUACAUGUACCCACAACAACACCAUUUUCAAAGCCCCUGGCAAAAAUAUAUAUCCCAGAAUGAUAGCCAUAAAAGGAGCAGAUCCUCUCCUUAUUGGAAAAAUAGCAAAAUACGGAUAUCUAGAUUUAAUAUAUCCAGAUACAGACCUAAGAGAAAUAGCCAGUUUAGAUGAGCUAUUAGUCAAAGAAGUCUCAAAAUUUGCCCAAAAAAGGCCCAUAUACUUAAAAUUUUACACUAUUAGCCCAGAAUACCACCAAAAUGUCGAAUACCAAGCAUUUUACAUGAUCUCUGUAGGCCACCUCACAAAAAAUUUUCAGAUAGAAGUAGGAACUGAAUAUACAAAUGUUCCUCAAAUAACCAAAGCAUGGAUCAGAACCCGUAGAGCCCGAGGAAUAAAAGCAAUAUGGAGUAUUGCAAAAGACCUUUAUAAAAGAAACUUUAGAACAAUCAUCCGAUUCCAAAAUUAUAUCCUCGUAACUUCUGAAGAUAGCCAUACACCAUCAAAUAUCUUCUUGGAACUCAUGAACGAAAUCAGCACCAUGAGAUUCCCCAACAGUAGUGAGACCAUGCAGCAAGCUUAUCAGCUUAUGGAGAUGAAGAUGCCCGACAAAUAAAGUUGUUCGUGGCAGACAAAGAAGAUAUGUGGCAGACAAGAAGAUAAAAAGAAGAUAAAAAAGUUGUACGUGGCAGACAAGAAGAUGCUCGUGAUAAAAAACAGAGAAAAAGAAGAUGCUCGUAAAAAGCAAGAAGACAAGAAGACAAGAAUUCAAGAACCUCUUGUAAUGAUAGAGUGAUGAUGUAAGCAGUGUGAUCAGAAAGCAAUAAUGUAAAUCAAUAAUGGGAUCAUCUUUUCUAAUAUAAAUAGAAAGAGAAGGAGAAAGCAGAAAAAGCUUUCGAAGACAUUCGAUAACUCUCGAUCCAAAAAAUUCUCUGAAAAAGAAUGAAGCUCUAAACACUCUCUUGCUCGAAAUCCAAAAUCAGUACAUCAUAAACCAAAAACAAAAACCAUUAGAGAAAGAGACGAGAAACCUAACUUCACUCAAUACCUCUUUAACAAGAAGAUCGAAAUCUAUACAGUAAAGCCAUCUGAGUCCACAGAUCCCGCUGAGGCAGGAGGCCGUUAAGGGAACAGGACAACCAGGCUGCAGGUCACUGGAAGGAGAUCAGAAAUCAAAGAAGUAACAGUGAGCUAGGUAAUAAUACUCAACUCUUAUCUCUUGGUGGUGGUUGUUGAUGGUGGUUGAUGGAAUGAUUUUUGGAGAAAGAGCAGAUUCUUAAACUGAAGCAGAUCUGUAAUUAAUUUUAUGACAUGAAUCACAAAAUUUACUUAGGAGAAUCUAAAGAAUACAUGAUAAACCCAACUACUAAAAUAACUUAUAAUGAGUACAUGAUGAUAAUAGACUUCGAUUUAGGUUCAUUUAAACAAAGUUCUUAUCUAUUCAGUAAACAAGAACUUGUUAGAACAGAAGACCUAUUAGCCAUAGACCUUCUUAAGUUACCCCAAGAAAUAAAAAGAAAAAUUAUAAAUAACAUUGAAACAGAUAACCUAAAACAUAACAUAAUUAUGUUGACAAUAGAAGAAGGAAUAGAUGUAGCAAAAGCCUAUUUAGAGCAAAAAACUUAUGAAUCUGGACCUUCAUAUAUCUAUGAUUCAGAUAACGAAGAAUUUGAAAUAUAACUGUGAAAGGUAUAUAGGCUGGGAACCUCUUCGGGUUGCGGACUACUAGUCCAAAGGGCGACCUGGAUCGCUGUACCUAGAGGUAAAACAACGCCACGUACUUUUCUAAUAAAAAUUUAGGACAGAUAAAGAUAGAUAAACAUCAAUUUGAUAAUUAUAAUCAAUAAUAAUCCUGAAUGGUUGAUUUUGUUUUACUGCUCUUGUAAUUUUAUUUUGAAUAUAUUUGUCUAGUCUUGUCAUAUUUUUAUAAUUCUGUUUGUACUUUUGUAUUUGUAAUUUUGUAAUUUUAUUUGUAUUUUUGUAAUUUGUAUUUUUGUUUGAAUUUGUAAUUUCGUAUUUUUGUUUUAAAUACACACCUGAAAAUGGUAUCAGAGCCAGCAGAAUCAUAAGACAUGGACCCUAUACAAGCAAUAGUAGAUAGCUUAUAUACAUUAAAGGUAUAUAAUAAAGAAGAAAUAAAAAAUUUAAUAAAGGCCAUCAAAACUGACAAAAAUAAUAUAAGAAAUAUAGAACUUGAGUUAACUCAGGAGCUUAGAGAAAGAUUUAUAGAAACAACAGGAGGAGAAAUUUUAAUAGAAAAGAAAAUGAAAUUUAUAGAUAAAUUUAUAAAGUUUUUAAUAUAUUGGUGUAAAACAGAAACAUUAUGAAUCAACAGGCUGUUAAUGUAAUACAGGGAUUGGCAAGCUGCAUAGAUCACCUACUCUUAGGAUGGGAAAAUACAGUAAAUGCAUAUAUAAAUCUAAUAAACCAAAAAAUAGAUUUAUUAGAACAAGAAAGGAUAGGACUGGUAAAUUUAGGACCAGAGGUCUAUUAUGAAUUUGUAGAUUUAUAUGAAUUUGAUAACCAUAUAUUGCUGUUUAAAGAAAUAAAAUAAAGUUCUCGAAAGAUUAAAAAAUAGAUGUGCAGGGAUGGAAGAAGACAAAUACAUCCAGGAUUAUAAAAAUUGGAAAUAGAAAGAAUUAUAAGAAUCCUUAUGAAAUUAACCAGGAGAAUAAGACAAAAUUAUAAGAUACAAUCAACGUAAGUUAGAGGCCCCCACUUUUAAUAAUCCAAUCAUAUACAGUGACUUUAAUAUAAAUGCAUAAUAUUUUACCAAAAAAAAGGGAAAAAAUCGAAUUAGAGGUAAAAGUUAUUCUACGAUUUUAUUUUUUGUAUAUAUCUUGCAUGCUAUUCCCAAAAGCAAUCAUAAACGGCCCUUAAAACAAUUUUACAAAAGCGGCUGUUACUUAUAUCACCAACUUUGUUAGGGAUGACAAUGGGGAGGGGAGAGGAGGAGACCAAUCUUGUAGUAUCUAUCCCUGAUAUUUUGCGUAUAUUCUCGUUCUCUCUCCAUCCCCGACAAAAUUACUUUAGGGAAUCACCUCCUCUCCCUGAAUAAUAAUAUGGGAUCUCCGUGGGUCAUUGAUCCCUGAAUAACUGAUAUGUUUUUAGUUUUUUAUUUUAAUUUAAUCAUAUUAAAAUAAAAAUUUAAAUAAAAAUAAAGUUUGAUGAUAUAUCUCACAUUAGCAUUAAUCCAUUACAAAAGUCACAUUACAAAGUAUAAAUCACCACAAUAAUUAUCUUCGUCAAUUUUCAAAAUCCUACAAUAAAAAAAAAAAGAAAUUACUUUUAUAUCAACAAUGAAAUAAAUAAAAUAAAUAUAAAUAAAUACUUAAUCAAUAUUUCUAAUAAAAGUAUUUACCUCUUGCGUCUCUUGCUCCUCUUGUUCUUCCUCGAUGAAUGUGGCAAAUUGAAAGAUAGCCUCAGAUUUCAAAUUUAAAACAAUAAAAAUAAUAGAAGUAAUGUAACUUAUAAGCGAAAAUAUUAAUUAUUAUAUAAUAUAAUUACAAUGUAAAAUAAACUCAUACUGCCAUUUUAAGCUUGUAGCUUAUUUUGACAACACAUUAAAUCCUCCAAUGUGCUUGAAUGAAGCGUGUUACGAUACUCUACUAAUGGUGUUAAAAGUUGAUUCAGAAGCAACAGUUGUAAUUGGAAUUGUCAAAAUAUCUCUAGCAAUUCGUGCCAAUAUAUGAUACCUAUGGACAUUUGUUUUUAACCAACUCAAAAUAUUAAAAUCUUUCAUCUGUAGCAUAACUUUCUCAUCCAAAUAUUAAUGCAGUCAAUUAGGCCUAAAAGUUUAAUAAUAUAAUUAUUUUGAUAUUUUUUAUUUAUACUAAUAUUUAAUAUUUUAUAAUUUACAUUUUAUUAUUUAUUUACAAAUAAUUUAUAAAAUUAAAAUUAAAAUUAAAAUCAAUAAAUUAGGAGGGGAUGAGGAUUCUACUGUAUCCUCAUCCCUUUCUCGAAUAAGAAAUUGGGUAAAAAAUUAUUCUCGUCCCUUCCUUGAAUAAGAAAUUGGAUAAAAAAUUAUCUCUUUACCCUCUCCGAAUGGAGAAAAAUUCCGAGAAUCCCUAUCCCUGCGGGGAUUUCUGCCACCCCUAAACUUUGCAACAGCCAGUUGCUUUUGUGACCAUUUAUGUGACGGAUAGACUGCUCUCACUUAUGUUACUAAUAAGCUUGGCAAAAUCAGGGUCCGGUCCGGGCUUCUAAGCCCGCAUGUGAUAACUUUAAUUUUUUUCUUCAAUUUUUUCUUUCAUUUCUCUAACAAUGCAAAUUUUAAAAAAGAAAAUAGUCAAAUAAAUUCAUUCAAUCUCAAGCUUUAGAAAAGAAAAUAGUCAAAUAUAAAUAUAUAACAUACUAACAAUGCAAAUUUUACACAAAUAAUAAAUAAAAAUUGUUUCAAUCUACUUUAUAAUACCUAAAUUCAUCUAAUUUCUAACCUAAACUCAUUCAAUCUAUAUAAAAAUAAAAUAAAUUCAACAACACAAUAGUCACACAAUAAAUCUAAAUAACAUCCAACAUAUCAUAAAAUUCAUAAUUAUAUAUUUAUAUAUAAUAUAUUUAUAUAUUUUUUUUAAUUUAUUAAGAAAUCGGGUCUGAGUCUAGCUUCCUGGUUUUUGGUGUUGAGAAUUUCAAAUCCGGGUCUGGUUUUUUGUGUAUGCGGUCCGGGUUUUACCCGACUGGAUUGCCUGGGUUCGGUUCGGACGAGCUUUUUUGACGCCCUUACUAACGGGCUUUUUUGACGCCCUUACUAACCACGUGACGGUAGAGAGCCAAUUGGCAUGCUAUUAGUUUAGAGUUAUAAAUUGGAAAAUGAGACUCUUAGAGCAUCACCAAAAGGCUCUUCAAAUAAGAUUUUAUUACUUAUUUGAAGGGCCACAUUAAUAUUUAAAGCUCCAAAAGACACUUCAAUUAAAAUUCUUCAAAUAAGAAUUGAUUCUCUCUCUUCAAAUUUGGAGAGUUAAUUUCUCCCUCUUCAAUUUGUAUUUUAUUACUUUUUAUUGAAGAAAAAGAGAGAAAUACUUUAAUUGUUAUUGACUUUUCCUUUAAAAAAAUAAUUAUUUGAUUAAAAUAAUAUUAAUUUAUUUUCAUUUGAAGAGUUUUUUGGAGAAUAUUAUAUUUUUUUACCCUUCUAUUUACCACAUAAGUAAGUAAAUAGAUAUUUAAAGAGUAAAAUUUAGAGAGACUUUCGGAGAUGCUCUUACAACAUUAAGCACAACACAUAGCACCGAACGGUGCGUUUAAAGGCAACUAUAAAAGGUCACAGUAAUCGACAAUUGCAACACACACGUUCUCAACUACAGCACACGCUCUCUCCCUCACAUUCUUCCUCACGCUCUCUCUGUUCUCCCUCACAACACACGGCUCUCUCUCUCCCCCCUCCAAAUCCAACAGCCGUGGGUUACUCUCGCUCUUCGCCCUCCAAAUCCAAGACCUAUGGAUGCAUAAUAGAGUAAAUAGCAAUUCCCAUCCACUCUAGUAACAGAAAAUGACAGCUUCUGUGAUUGUGGUGAAAAGUUUCCCCUAGUAAUGCUAAGUACAGCGAGGAAACCAGCAAGGAAACCAUCAAUUCUGUACACAUAUAGAUGCCAAAAGCAAGCAGUGAAUUGCAUCAGAUAUUAGUGAAGAAUAAUUACCAGCCGUAAACUCAGCUCCUUCGGUUGCUAGUGUACAAUAGAGCAAUAGGUUGUGUUUGGGGAUGUUAGAUGUCGAAAUAAUUGAGGCAAAAUUCUUUUAUGCAAUAGUUGGCUUGUGUCGACUUUUGAAAGGAAACUUAUUUUUGUGCUGUCAAUGUUACUUAUUUGUUAGUUUAUUUCUUAGGUUUUGUUGUUCGGGAUAUUAUGUAUUGGAUUUCAUUUCCUUUUGCCUCUGGUAUGGCCCCUAAUAGAACUUGACGUAAUUCUUUUUGGGAUAUGUUUUUUUGAACUAGAGAUGACAUCACUAGCAUCUGGUCUUUCUCUUUGAGACAGCCGAGAGAGUGAGGUGCCGUGAGAGAUGCAAUCGAUGGGGGGUGGAGAGAGGUAGCCGACAGUGAGAAUGGUAAGGAAGAACGGAGCGUAGUGAGAUUAGUGGAUUGGUGAGGAAGAGCGUGAGGGAGAGAAUGAGAGAGCAUGUGUUGUGGUUGAGAAUGUUGCAAUUGAGAAUUUACUGUGACCUUUUAUGCUUGCCUCAAAACUCACCGUUUUGUGCUAACUGUUGUACUCAAUGUUGUAAGAAUAUCGGAACUGUUAUAAAUUUGUUUCUAAAUAGAAAACUCUUUUGUGGAGUCAAUAUUUUGAAAACCAAAGUCUCGAGUUCUUUCUCGUGCGUGCCUGGCCAGCAUCCUAAACCUUACUGGUAGCCGGAGAAUGGCGUAAAACGGCGGCGAUCUUCUUCUUCAUCUUAUUCUCUCUGUCAUCGUUUCAGGUAACCUUGUGAUUAUGAGUUUCUUCUCUUUCUUAGCUUGCAAAAAUAGGUUUUGAUUUCUUUAAUUCGUAUUGUAGCCAUUAAUAUCAAAUUUUGUCCUGCCGGCAAUAUUUUUUUGUUCCUAGAGGUUGAAGCCCUUCUGUUCUUGUUCCAUUGGUGACUUUGCUCACUCAAAUUAAUUUUGUUCUGCAGAAUUUACAAAGUUCAAAUGGAUUCGUUUGGAUUACUAUUGAAUUUAGCUUUCAUUUCAACAUUCAUUCUAAUGUUUUACAAUUAUGUAUUUAGAUUUACUUUAAUUUUAUGUUUAAAGCUUCUGCAAUGAAUAGCUGAGCUUGGGUCUUAGUUUCAUUUUCUAAUUAACUUGUUUUAGUUUAUCUUAUAUGCUCACCAAGUGCUUGUUAUAUUGUCUGAUAGGUUAUAUAACAUAGCUGAUUAUAUAAUAAUAAUGUCAUGUUCCAUUUUCAGAAAUUAUAAUAUAAAAGUUUUUACAAUGGGGUGCAUCUACAAACUGAAUUGACUUGUAGAGUAAGAGCUUGGAGUAGUGUGCAUUCUUGAAUAAAUGAAAGUUCAUAUUGUGUAAGAGCAUGUAGAUGUAAAGCAUCAUUACCAUUUCUACCAAGUGCUUUCAUUCUGUUCAGAUGCUCCUCUUGAACUUUGGAAGGUGCCUCAUUCAAGUCCUAGCUAUAACUAAUUGCUCUGAUUAAUUAAGUUCAUAUGCUAGCUGAAACAGAUUUAAUUAAUUAAUUAAUUAAUUGUGUAUGUACUAAUUAUAUUGAAAGUAUAUGAAGAAAUUGUUUAACAUGAAUGACUUCUAAAUGACUUAAAAGCCUAGAGGAUAUGUGAAAUAAUGCUCAUUUCACUUGAACGAGCCUAUUAAUACUUGUAUGUCUAUGAUUGUCAAUAUUGCUUAAGUGUUUCAGUUAAGUGGUUUACCUAGCAGGGAAAAAAAUUUAAUGGAAAACCUUAGAGUUUUAAUAGAAAUAUAGUUGACUAUGCAGAUAUAGUUAUUUUACGGUAUAUAAAUCAUGUUGUCCUAUUCUCAAUGUCCUACAACCUAUUUUAUUUUAUAUAGUCAUUCAUUUUACGAUGGUUUUUUGUGUUUAUGAGUAUGGAAAUAGUGGGAUUUGGUGUACCUUAGCAUCUUUCGAAAAUUCUCUUUAAAUGCGGCAAACAGAAAUAUACAUAUAAUCAAGUUUCUUAAUCAUGUAUAUUAGGUUUGGGUGUGAAUGUUUUCCUAUUCUAGUUCUAGGCAAAGUUUCUUCAUUUUGGUCUUCAGAUUUCCAGUAGGUUAAGCUAAUCAACUAUCAUAACUGGCUAGCUAGUUAUUGCCUGCCUUGUCGCCAUUACCGACGCCAUUACAUUGCAUGGCAUAGGGAAUAGUAACUAUGUGAUUAUUGGUGAUUUGUUGAGCUUAUUAUUGACCAAACAAACAUAUUCGCCUUUACCCACAACUUGGUUUGAUUAGUUACUGGACAAUAAAGAGCCUUAAUCUAUGCAUUGGCUUUCUUAUUUUUAUUUGGUUUUUCUUUCAACAAUAUUGUUGAUUUCUUAUAUCAUUGGCUAUUUAAUGAAGCUAAUUAAAACUAAGGCUUCGGAUCACUUUCUUCUAACAACAAACAAAUGAGGAUAACCUAUCUCCUCUAAGCAAAUUUUUCUAAUAUCCUUGAUUUGUUAGGACCUGGAGGCCUGAAAUCCUCUAGAUUUUUUUAGCACUGCCAAUGUUCCUUUUAUUCUGAAAAGGAAAAAAAGGUUAUAUCGUUUAUACCCUAACAGUAAAAUGGCCUUUGACUUAACAUGCCUUCCUGAGGAUUUGCAAGAUUCACAAGCAGCCUAGCCACCCCCCAACGCAAAAAAAAUAAAAAAAAUAAAAAACUAAUAAAAAUAAAAAAUAAAACAACCCAAAUAGGAAGACUUUGCAACAUUCACAACGUGGUUACAUUUAAGUUAUUAAUUGUGUGUGUGUGUACUAGUUAUAUGUUGAUAGUAUAGGAAGAAGUAUUUUAACAUGGAUGACUUAAAACUUAUUGCUCAGUAAACAUAGUCUGCAUCAGUGCUAGAAAAUGUAUUUAUUGUUUGUAUUUUUUAUGGUUUUGAUUAAGAAAUGAAAUGUGAAAAAAUGCUACAUUGUAUUAGGAAUAAAUUGAAGAGAUUUAUGAUUUUUAUGUGUUAUUCAAGUUUCAGAUUCAAUUUUAAACUUUUGAUACAUGCAUUGAAAGCUUAAACUCCUUUAAGAAGUUAUUGAUAGACACAUGUUUUAUUAGUGUCAUCUUUGGAUGAUAGUGAGGAUCUUAUGUCUAUUAAUAAUUCUUGAAUUAUCUAGGCUUGGACAGUUUGGUAAUGCAUAGAUUUCUAUGGUAGCUAGUGCCUGAAAUUUUUUUCCCACGUAAAAAUGGGUUUUUCAGCAGCUGCUCCUCAUGUUCUCUGGGUGCAUACUAGACAAAUGGGUGUCAUGUGUUGUUUUGGCAUAACACAUAAACACUCAUAUAUCUAUGUCGUGUACUUGAAGAACUAUAGGGAGAUGCUUCCGAAAUUUCUAUAAACGUAGAGGAAAACUUUAGAUACUUAAGAUUGAAGAAACUUAUGCAUUCUUGAGUGGGAUAUAGAGGACCACUUACCUUUUGUAAUAUGAAGGGAAUGUUGGAUAUAUUGAUGGGAGUGGAGGAGCUGAGUGGGAUGAAUGUAAUCGGUUAUGAUUUUGCUGAGUUGACUUGGUUUUGAGUCUUGUAAUUUUGUUUAUAAAUGGAGUACUAUCUCCAAUGUUGGUUUAUAAAUAUUGUUUCAGCUGGCUGACCUAAUUUUUUAUUUCUAGGUAACAGGCUUUAUAUAUUCGUAAUUGAUAGCCAAGUGAAGUUCUCAGCAGUGGGUGAGGAUAUUUCUUUACAGAAGGUAUUGGAAACUGUUUUUCACAUUAAUUAGUAUUGUAUACAUACUUUAAUUUCACAUCUUUUUCUCUGAUUCUUGUGGCUUUGCUUGCUUUCAUAUAUAUAAACAUUCUAAUGAGAUUAACAUAAAAUUGUAUAAUGAUUUUUUUUAAUUAUAAAUUGCGCGCACACGAAAAUAUCUUGUUUAGUAGUAGAAAUGAAGAACUAAAAUGAUUUAUUUAACUAAUUUUUCUAGUGCAUUAAAAGGAGAUAGUCAUGGACAAGAGUUGGGUUGGUUUGCCAAAUAGAUAUCCAAGUCAUAUACUGAUGGGGUUGAAAAAUUUAUAGAUUUUGCAUUUGAGAAUGUUGUUGGUGAUAAAAGAAUUUAUUGUCCUUGUAAGAAGUGUCGUAAUAUCGAUAUUUCAUUAUAAGGGAAGUGGCAAGAGACCAUAUCAUUACAAAUGGCUUUUGGUUAAAGUAUUGAAACUGGAUAUUGCAGGGUGAGCCAUCUUCAUCUUUGAAAUCUAACUAAGAAACAGGUUAGUCAUGACUCGGGUGCUGAUGAUAGUAUGGUUGGAGUGAUACACGAUGCAUCACAUAAUCAAGUGUUCAAGUUACACACAGCAUUGUUAUGUUAUGGACUAUCAGUGACUUUCUAACAUAUGCCAACUUGUUUGGGUAGAGUAUUAAAGGUAAAUAAGCAUUUCUUGUUUGCCAACAAAACACUAGAUCUAAUUGGUUGAUACAUAAUAGAAAAUUUUGUUACUGGGUUACGGUCGAUUCUUACCAACGAAUCAUAGGUUUCGAAAAUAUAGUGUCUUUUGAUAAAACUAGGGGGUAGGGAUAAGCGCCUUCUCGGUUGUCUUGAACUGACGUGAAAAAGCAGGUGAAUAAUAUAUUUACUAAGUAUAAGAUUGAAGACUUGAAAAGAGGAGAAUGAAUAAAAUGAAAGAAAUGAUAAGAUUACUUGGAAGAAGAAAAGCAUUUUUUAUGAACUAACGUAUUGGGAGUUCAACUUGAUUCAUCAUAAUCUUGAUGUCAUGCAUAUGAUCUACUUUCUUUCAUUUUCUCACCUCCCAAACAUCCAUUAUACAAUAAAGUUUUUUUAGAUUUUAUUGUUUCAUAGAAUUAUAUUUUGCAUAUGAUGAAAUAACUUAACAUUUUAGUAUUCAUUUGCAUAUAAUAAUUAUAAGUAAGAAAAAAUAACCAACUUUUUAACAGCUGCUGUACCGUACAUCCGCCUUGGCCGUACAGCAGCAUUACAAAUGGCUUUUGGUUAAAGUAUUGAAACUGGAUAUUGCAGGGUGAGCCAUCUUCAUCUUUGAAAUCUAACUAAGAAACAGGUUAGUCAUGACUCGGGUGCUGAUGAUAGUAUGGUUGGAGUGAUACACGAUGCAUCACAUAAUCAAGUGUUCAAGUUACACACAGCAUUGUUAUGUUAUGGACUAUCAGUGACUUUCUAACAUAUGCCAACUUGUUUGGGUAGAGUAUUAAAGGUAAAUAAGCAUUUCUUGUUUGCCAACAAAACACUAGAUCUAAUUGGUUGAUACAUAAUAGAAAAUUUUGUUACUGGGUUACGGUCGAUUCUUACCAACGAAUCAUAGGUUUCGAAAAUAUAGUGUCUUUUGAUAAAACUAGGGGGUAGGGAUAAGCGCCUUCUCGGUUGUCUUGAACUGACGUGAAAAAGCAGGUGAAUAAUAUAUUUACUAAGUAUAAGAUUGAAGACUUGAAAAGAGGAGAAUGAAUAAAAUGAAAGAAAUGAUAAGAUUACUUGGAAGAAGAAAAGCAUUUUUUAUGAACUAACGUAUUGGGAGUUCAACUUGAUUCAUCAUAAUCUUGAUGUCAUGCAUAUGAUCUACUUUCUUUCAUUUUCUCACCUCCCAAACAUCCAUUAUACAAUAAAGUUUUUUUAGAUUUUAUUGUUUCAUAGAAUUAUAUUUUGCAUAUGAUGAAAUAACUUAACAUUUUAGUAUUCAUUUGCAUAUAAUAAUUAUAAGUAAGAAAAAAUAUUUGUUUACAAUCACUACUAGUUUUAUUGUCGUGAUUACAAAUAAAUUGCUCAAAUUUUCUGCUUCAGCUAUCAAACCUUUUAGCUGCUUCCAGACAUGAAGAAAUUAAACCCAUAAUUUCUAGGUACAAUUGCAUUCGUAUAUGCCAUGAUACAUAUGAUAUGAUUAGAACCAAAAGGAGAAAUAAAUUUUUGGGACUUAUUGUGAUGGUGAUUAAUCUUUUUCUACCUUAACUUUGAUAAGGUUAUAAUUAAAUUUUAUAUGAUUAAAGUGGUCAAUGGUUAAAUAAAUAAAUAAAUAAAACAGAUGAGGAUGGACUAAUGAAAUGACCCACCCCGAACUCCACAAGGUGAGUCUAUGUAAUAUCGUCUUACUUGACUGAUAAUAAUCUAAUUAGUAAGGAUUUUGCCGAAAAUUUGAUAGAGUCUCCACUUUGAAUAUAACAUUUCCAACUUGCAAAUGUGUAAAACAAGCACUCUCAAAUAAAUCAGUAUACAACCAACUUCAUUGAUCAACCUCCUCAACUAUAUUAUUGAAUAUUACCCAAAAUAUCUACAAAGUAUCAAAAGAUUAUAUUAUACCUACUGUUGACAUAUAUUAAGCUAUUUUUAAUCACAAAAAAUAUUAAAAAAUUAUAUAAUCCAAAAAAUAAGAAAUCAAAAUGCCCUGACAAUAUAAUCUAUAUCUCCUAGUACCAUCACAUGGCCAAAUUUCAAAAUACUAUAGUUGCUAAGUCAACUGGUGUCUUGCAACCUCCUGAGGGGUGGGAGGGAAUUAUAAUAAAACGGGUGAGUAUAAAACUCAGUGAGCUUGGUGAGUGGAUAAUAGUUUUUGAAAAUAACUUACCAUAAAUAAUUAUACCACUUUUAUAUAUGAUUUUAUCAAACUAUAUGUAAGAAACAUGAAUAAAUUAUUUAACCUUUGAAUCAAGUAAUUGACAUUGAAAAGAAUACAUUAAGAGGUGCAUAAUAAUCAUGGAAAUUGUAUCACAAUAUAAAAUACAUGAUUAUGAAAUUAUCACAAAACAAGUACCUAAGGGAAUAAUCUUGUCGUACCUAGAGCUCAUACGGGCAAUGCAAUGACAUAUUCUCUAGGUACUGUCAUCCUCGGAGCUAGCACCGGUAGAUCAAUGAAGUGUCAUCUUAUAUAUCUUAUCAUAUCUUUGCAUGCAUAAACUAGUCCCCAAAAGACAAAGGUGUCCAAGCACAUAAUCCAAGGCCUCUAUGAGCCCCAAAGGCCCUUAUUUCAUUUGUAUCUUAGUAACUGAAUCUUUGUUAUCAUCAUAUUUCAUGCAUAAGCGCCCAAAAGGCAAAAGUGCCUAAAUAGACGGCCCAAAGCCUCCCUGUGUGUUCAGACGGGCCCCAAAGUCCUCUCAUCUCAUCUGUAUAAUUGUAAUUGGAGGGGAAGGGCAUUGUUCAACGAGUUUGAGAACAAACUUAUAUAUAUACACACAUAAACAUUUUAAUCAUACUUUAAACUCUUAUUUCCUUUUCAUUACAUACUUUAAAUUUGAUUUUCUUUUCUUUAUAUUACUCUCAUGUAUAUACUCAAAAUCGGUAAUAAAACCAAUAAUCAUACUUUUUAAUAAUAAAUAUCAAUACUUAAAUAAAACCUAUUUCUAGAAAAUCAUUAGAUCGGAGCAUUAAACACUUAUUUCCCAAACAUGCUUUACUAUACUUUAAAAUCAUAAUAAAAUAUGAAAAAUAGGUUUUGCCUAUUUCACUCACCGUGACGAUACUCAAACUCGGCUAUCAUUAAUGUCUGCAGGAUGGGUCUCACUCACUAUUCCUCCUAAAUCAAGGAUACGACAUAAUUACUUUCCAUAAAUGUGAAAUACAACUAACUGUAUGUAAUAUACUCGAAACGAACAUCUAUCCACAAUAUGCUACUCCUAUGUCUGUAACGUUACCAAAAAUACCCCCAAAAUCAUAAAUUGUCAAACAACCCUCAAAAUCAUAAAUUACCAAACUAUCCUCUAUAAAAUAUUAUUAAAAUAUCCACAAAGUCAGAAAUUAAAAAAUUACCAUCAAAAUAUAAAUUUAUCAAAAUGCCUUUGUUGGUCAAUGGUGAUCGGGAGUCAAGUGAUGGUGGUUGGAAUGGUCAAGAUAAAUGCUUUGGACCACGCUGAAUUUAAUGGUGGCAAAUUGACCAUUUCUGGUGACAUGGGUGAUUAAAAAUUGUAGAGGGUGUCGUGAGGGAGAAAACUAAGCAGUAGUGUGCCACAAGUUCGACGAAAUCCCAUCGAAUCGAGGUGGUAGUACCAAAGCUCUUCACAUUCUUGAUUGGUGGUCUUUUAGCAGUUAUUUAGUGACCAUGAUGGUUGGGGAAUGACUAGCAUUGGUAAAGGAUUCGAUCGAUACCUUCUGUUGUCGAUAGAGUGGCCGAAGGAUUCGAUCGAUACCUUCUGUUGUCGAUAGAGUGGCCGAAAAUAGUAGUUAGCGGCGGGUGGGGUUUCAAGUCUAUCAGUUAGGUUGAUAGCUCUUCCUCUCUUUGUUUUUCUCUUCCCCUCGAUUCCGUGUCAUAACAAGUUUAAACUAGUCCAAACUCGAACCAUUUAACAAGCGUGUCAAAUUUAACAACCCACACAUUUAUUCAUGUUGAGUAAUUGAGUCGUGUCAAAUCUGCCAAUAACAAUUAUAAUAAUGACUUUUAAAACUUCAAGUCAAAGAGGAGGAUAAAAUAAUGCAUUUGAUUAAACAUAAAAUGCAUAUGUUACAACUAUUCACUAUUCAAAAUAUUAAGAGUGGAGUAGCAAAUGUCAAUUUAUUUGGUUGCAGUCAAAUUUAUCCUAUGAUAAAUAGUGAUUAUUAAAUAAUAUAUAGAUCUAUUAUAUAGUCAAUUAAUAAUAUAUAUUAAUGAAAAUUUAAAAAUAAAUUAUUUAAAAAAGUCAAACUAGGUAAUGGACUUAAAUGUGAAAAUUUAAAAUAAUUUGGAGUUAUGUGUUAAAAUAUUGAAACUUUGUCAUUUUUUAAUGUGCAAGCAAAUAAUAGGGACUAUAGACUUAAUAAACUAUUAAAUCCAUCUAAGCCACUAAGCUACGUUUAUGUUAAAUCUAAUGGUUAGUAAUAGCUAAUAAGAAAAGGACAAAAAUUGGGGUAUGAUGUUACAGGGACACCAUAGUCGGACCCAUUAUUAAUGUUUAGUACAAGUAUUUUCUGAAAUAACAACUACAUAAUUAUUAUCUUAUGUAUCUAAUGAGAUUAUUAAUUUAGUAUAUUGGCCCAAGUUAGGAAAGUAAGAUUUUGUUAUUUAAUCAAGUAUAUUAAUUUAUAAAACAUUCAUUUAUUGAGAUUUUAUUGUAUAUUACAUUUGCACACUUUCUUUUUAAUGUGAAGUAAAAACUAAUGUUACACAUGAACUUAUUGCUGACAACAUUAGUACAUAAUUGCUGUCAUAAGAAAAUUUAUCAAUCCAGGAAUUUUGGAUUUUAUAAAGUCUUUACAAGUGAAAAGAGUAGUUUAUAACAUUGUAAAUGUGACCUCGACCUGGAAGCGAACUCGGCUGUCAUAAAUUGAUCAAAGCCACACUUAACUUCUACUACUACUUGCAUUGUUACCACCGUCUUCAGCCUUCUGCUUUGCCCAUUCAAAAAAAAAAAAAAAUUAUAUAACUUUUGUCAGCCAACAAUUAUAAUAAACUAAAAACAUGUCCAAAGAUUCAAAAAAAAAUUUUUCCCUUUUUUUGGUUUUAGCUCCUCUGACAUAUCAAAUCCUAUUGCCGUGAAAAGUUUCCCUUGCAGCGCAUAAUUUUGCCACAGCAUCUCUCAUCUCCAUUCGCUCAGUUGGAGACUCCAUUGAGCAGGAAACCCCAAUUCCAAUUACAGCAGACAAGCAUUGCUCAGUCCUGACUCUUAUCUCUCCAUCAGUAUUUCUUGCAAUUUCCUCAGUUAGAAGUGAAGGCUCAACAAUAUUCACCACUUCUUCUGGCAAAGCCCUUUUGGCAAAUUCAUGGAGAGUUAAGCCAUCAUUGAACAUACUGUCCGUGGGCCGCUUUCCUGUGAACAUUUCUAGCAAAAGAAUUCCGAAGCUGUACACAUCACCUCGCAUGGAGACUUCGCCACCCGUACCGUACUCUGAAAAAAACAUGUUAGAUAUAUUACUCAGUUAGUUGCCACAUAUACGAGUUCUAACAAACAGCAGAUUAAUUCAAAAAAUGUAAAAUUACAAUAUCAAAAUAUCUAUCUAAAGAGGAAUAUAUAUAAUUGAGCUUGAUUGAGAUUGAGGAGCAGCACUUAGUGGACCAUCAGAUAGAAAUCGUGCUAGCCCAAAGUCACCCACAUGGGCAACCAUGUCAUGAUAAAAAAGAAUAUUGCUGGGCUUUAGAUCACCAUGAAUUAUUGGUGGUUGACUGUGGUGGUGGAGAUACUCGAUUGCAGAAGCUACAUCAAUGGCUAUGUCCAGUCUUUGAAUGAGACUUACAUUGCACGCUUCUAGGUGAUCAUUCCUCUGAUGCAACCACUCCUCUAGACUUCCGUUUUCCAUGUAUUCGUAAACGAGAGCCUUGAAAUCAGCUCCUUUAGAAUCAAUGCUUGAGAAAAUAGUGAUGAUUUUAAUGAGAUUUCGGUGGCGAAUAUUUCUCAAAGCUUCACAUUCUGCCACAAAACUCCUGAAACCCCCUUUCUGAUUAAGAUUAAUCACCUUCACAGCAACUACCAUUCCAUUUUCACUAAAAAUUCCCUUGUAAACAAUGCCAAAGCUUCCUUGACCAAUCAUGUUUGAUGUUGAAAAUUCAUUAGUUGCCUUCCUUAGCGCCGCGUACGAGACAAAUGGGAACUUUUGUUCUAUUAGCAACGAAUUAGAAUCUUUGUGUGCUGAUCUCCUUCUUCGAGCAUAAACAACAAGAAAGCAUGCUGAUAAGAUUAAACAUGACAUAAUGACUGGAAAUAUCACUUUGACUAGGAAAGUAACUUUUGAUUUUCUUGAUCCUUUCAAAGGACAUGAUGGUAAAUGCAAUUCAUCCAACCCUCCACAAAGAUUCUCAUUCCCAACCAGUGAAAUGCUUGUCUUAUUGUGAAAAACUCCUUUUGCUGGUACCUGGCCCUCAAAAUGAUUGUAAGAAAGAUUCAAAUAUUGCAAGAAUGGUAGAUUCUCAAGAUAUUCUGGAAUCUUGCCGGACAAAUUGUUACGGGAUAGAUCUAACACUUUCAAGCUUUUCAAGGAAAUCAGAGAAAGAGGAAAAAAAAAAAAAUUAUAUAACUUUUGUCAGCCAACAAUUAUAAUAAACUAAAAACAUGUCCAAAGAUUCAAAAAAAAAUUUUUCCCUUUUUUUGGUUUUAGCUCCUCUGACAUAUCAAAUCCUAUUGCCGUGAAAAGUUUCCCUUGCAGCGCAUAAUUUUGCCACAGCAUCUCUCAUCUCCAUUCGCUCAGUUGGAGACUCCAUUGAGCAGGAAACCCCAAUUCCAAUUACAGCAGACAAGCAUUGCUCAGUCCUGACUCUUAUCUCUCCAUCAGUAUUUCUUGCAAUUUCCUCAGUUAGAAGUGAAGGCUCAACAAUAUUCACCACUUCUUCUGGCAAAGCCCUUUUGGCAAAUUCAUGGAGAGUUAAGCCAUCAUUGAACAUACUGUCCGUGGGCCGCUUUCCUGUGAACAUUUCUAGCAAAAGAAUUCCGAAGCUGUACACAUCACCUCGCAUGGAGACUUCGCCACCCGUACCGUACUCUGAAAAAAACAUGUUAGAUAUAUUACUCAGUUAGUUGCCACAUAUACGAGUUCUAACAAACAGCACUUAGUGGACCAUCGGAUAAAAAUCGUGCUAGCCCAAAGUCACCCACAUGGGCAACCAUGUCAUGAUAAAAAAGAAUAUUGCUGGGCUUUAGAUCACCAUGAAUUAUUGGUGGUUGACUGUGGUGGUGGAGAUACUCGAUUGCAGAAGCUACAUCAAUGGCUAUGUCCAGUCUUUGAAUGAGACUUACAUUGCACGCUUCUAGGUGAUCAUUCCUCUGAUGCAACCACUCCUCUAGACUUCCGUUUUCCAUGUAUUCGUAAACGAGAGCCUUGAAAUCAGCUCCUUUAGAAUCAAUGCUUGAGCAAAUAGUGAUGAUUUUAAUGAGAUUCCGGUGGCGAAUAUUUCUCAAAGCUUCACAUUCUGCCACAAAACUCCUGAAACCCCCUUUCUGAUUAAGAUUAAUCACCUUCACAGCAACUACCAUUCCAUUUUCACUAAAAAUUCCCUUGUAAACAAUGCCAAAGCUUCCUUGACCAAUCAUGUUUGAUGUUGAAAAUUCAUUAGUUGCCUUCCUUAGCGCCGCGUACGAGACAAAUGGGAACUUUUGUUCUAUUAGCAACGAAUUAGAAUCUUUGUGUGCUGAUCUCCUUCUUCGAGCAUAAACAACAAGAAAGCAUGCUGAUAAGAUUAAACAUGACAUAAUGACUGGAAUUAUCACUUUGACUAGGAAAGUAACUUUUGAUUUUCUUGAUCCUUUCAAAGGACAUGAUGGUAAAUGCAAUUCAUCCAACCCUCCACAAAGAUUCUCAUUCCCAACCAGUGAAAUGCUUGUCUUAUUGUGAAAAACUCCUUUUGCUGGUACCUGGCCCUCAAAAUGAUUGUAAGAAAGAUCCAAAUAUUGCAAGAAUGGUAGAUUCUCAAGAUAUUCUGGAAUCUUGCCGGACAAAUUGUUACGGGAUAGAUCUAA